GAGAAGGUUCGGCAUCUCUCAAUUUGGAAGCUAAAAAGAACUUAGUGGUUGGUAGAAGCCUGGGACCAGAAACUGUUUCAAACAAGUGUCAGCAUUGUGGUAUUAGUGAAAAUGAUACACCAGCAAUGCGACGCGGACCAGCUGGUCCAAGAACCUUGUGCAAUGCUUGCGGACUGAUGUGGGCCAACAAG